GGUGUGGCGAAUAUCCGUGUUCCUCCUGCUUAACUAGCCUGUUUGCAAAACAAAUGCAAUGGCGGGGGGCAGGAAUAACUAAUCUAAUACAGGUCUGGUAUUUCAUGAUUUGAGCAGUACUAUGCUAGACUGAGAUGUCAUUCAAAUUCCUGCCAUUUCUCUAACUUGUAUUCUCUGGCAAAAUGAAGGUCUGAUUCUAUUUAUUCUAAAGACAGAGUUGGAGAUGGGCUACCAUUGGUGUUGAUUGAGAUGACAAGCAGUCACCUGAGCCCAUACAGCUGUCAGUCCGCUAGCAAAACAUCAAACGUGAAUCAUCAUCAGUGACUCGAUUGAAGAGAAACCACAAGGCUCCCCUGAUCAGCAUAAGUCCGACGAAGCAGCAAGAAGCAACUGAAACUCCACCAGAAAUUCCUUAAUAAACUGGCUGACUAUACAGAAGCAGGACUUAGUCUUCGGGACUCUUGGGAACAGUGUUUACUGGCAUCCCACCAUGUCUCCUCUGUCCAGCUUAGAAUGUACCCUCGAACUCCUUACCCGAAUAAAGACUCCUUGGAAUGUCUCAGGAAACAAAA
rnacentral:lncRNA from 1 species